GUUGCUCGGAAUCACUGGGCGUAAAGGGUGCGUAGGCGGGUUUUUAAGUCAGGGGUGAAAUCCCGGAGCUUAACUUCGGAACUGCCUUUGAUACUGGGUGUCUUGAGUGUGAGAGAGGUAUGUGGAACUCCGAGUGUAGAGGUGAAAUUCGUAGAUAUUGGGAAGAACACCGGUGGCGAAGGCGGCUCACUGGCUCAUUACUGACGCUCAGGCGCGAUAGCGUGGGGAUCAAACAGG
rnacentral:rRNA from 1 species